UACGUAUGGGGCGAGCGUUGUUCGGAAUUAUUGGGUGUAAAGGGCGUCUAGGCGGGAAAUUAAGUUAUAUGUGAAAGGCGUGGGCUUAACCCACGAAUUGCAUCUAAAACUGGUUUUCUUGAGUUCGGGAGAGGAGAGCGGAAUUCUUGGUGUAGCGGUGAAAUGCGUAGAUAUCAAGAAGAACACCAGUGGCGAAGGCGGCUCUCUGGCCUAGAACUGACGCUGAAGCGCGAAAGCGUGGGUAGCGAACGGGAUUAGAUACCCCUGUAGUCCCUGAG
rnacentral:rRNA from 1 species